AAAUUGACGGGGCCGCACAAGCGGCGGAGCAUGCGGAUUAAUUCGAUGCAACGCGAAGAACCUUACCAAGGCUUGACAUACACCGGUAACGCCCAGAGAUGGGUGCCCCUUUGUGGUCGGUGGACAGGUGGUGCAUGGUUGUCGUCAGCUCGUGUCGUGAGAUGUUGGGUUAAGUCCCGCAACGAGCGCAACCCUCGUCCUAUGUUGCCAGCGGGUCAUGCCGGGGACUCAUGGGAGACUGCCGGGGUCAACUCGGAGGAAGGUGGGAUGACGUCAAAUCAUCAUGCCCCUUAUGUCUUGGGCUUCACGCAUGCUACAAUGGCCGGUACAAAGGGCUGCGAUACCGCGAGGUGGAGCGAAUCCCAGAAAGCCGGUCUCAGUUCGGAUUGGGGUCUGCAACUCGACCCCAUGAAGUCGGAGUCGCUAGUAAUCGCAGAUCAGCAACGCUGCGGUGAAUACGUUCCCGGGCCUU
rnacentral:rRNA from 1 species